rnacentral:rRNA from 1 species
UACGUAGGGGGCAAGCGUUGUCCGGAAUCAUUGGGCGUAAAGAGCGCGUAGGCGGUCCGGUAAGUCCGCUCUGAAAGCCCGGGGCUCAACCCCGGGAGGCGGGCGGAUACUGUCGGGCUAGAGUCCGGAAGAGGCGAGUGGAAUUCCUGGUGUAGCGGUGAAAUGCGCAGAUAUCAGGAGGAACACCGAUGGCGAAGGCGGGUCUCUGGGCCGAUACUGACGCUGAGGAGCGAAAGCGUGGGGAGCGAACAGG